rnacentral:tRNA from 1 species
GCCUCCAGUGACUCAGUUGGAUCGAGCAUUGUGCUGAUAAUGCCAAGGUUGCAAGUUUGAUCCCUGUAUGAGACA